AGUGAACGCUGGCGGUAGGCCUAACACAUGCAAGUCGAACGGCAGCACAGGAGAGCUUGCUCUCUGGGUGGCGAGUGGCGGACGGGUGAGGAAUACAUCGGAAUCUACUCUGUCGUGGGGGAUAACGUAGGGAAACUUACGCUAAUACCGCAUACGACCUACGGGUGAAAGCCGGGAACCUUCGGGCCUUGCGCGAUUGAAUGAGCCGAUGUCGGAUUAGCUAGUUGGCGGGGGAAAGGCCCACCAAGGCGACGAUCCGUAGCUGGUCUGAGAGGAUGAUCAGCCACACUGGAACUGAGACACGGUCCAGACUCCUACGGGAGGCAGCAGUGGGGAAUAUUGGACAAUGGGCGCAAGCCUGAUCCAGCCAUACCGCGUGGGUGAAGAAGGCCUUCGGGUUGUAAAGCCCUUUUGUUGGGAAAGAAAUCCAGCUGGCUAAUACCCGGUUGGGAUGACGGUACCCAAAGAAUAAGCACCGGCUAACUUCGUGCCAGCCGCCGCCGUAA
rnacentral:rRNA from 1 species